rnacentral:lncRNA from 1 species
GUGGUUAGGUAUUAUCAACUUUUACAAGUUGGAUGCAUCACAGUUUGUUGUUUUUCUCUCUUUCCAGAAAGACAACUGAAUAAAUUUGGUAGCAGAAUAGGAAGGAACAAAUACAUGAGCGUACUCGGAAUGAGAGAAGACAGCAGCAGGUAACAGAAGGUGGUUAAGUAAUGAAAUUUUUAGCAGCACAUGCCCACACCGUGGCCCCUUCCUGAUUCCUGUAAUGUACAUGUGGAAUCGACUGUGUAGAAGAGAAACUUCAGAGAUGCAUUGGUGUCAAUCAGGCACAUCCCUGGACCAGACUAUAUAUCCAAUUAAAGAUGUAUUGAGGACUAUCUCUCACACAUAUUGCCUGGCUAUGGGCCCUACCUUUGAGGAUGUGAUGUCUUUGGUGCCACAGACAUGCAUAAUCAGUGGACACAGAGAAAGCAUGAGUGAUUCAAAUGGACAUGGAAACAAGAACUGGAAAUUGGACGUCUGGUAUUCUCAUGGAUGGCUUGCAGGACUUCCUUAUGGGAUUUGGGUACGAAGGUACAACACUCAGUUCUACUUUCUCAGAUUCAGGCCACCAUCUCAAACUCGCCACCUUCAAAAUGCAUCUAGAUCCUCGCCACUUGCUAUCAUCUCUUUCAGGUCCCCCUCCACCGUCACCCAAGCUUUAUCGCCUCUGUCCUAGAUUAUUGCUGUGAGUUGAUAAUGGGUCUCCCUGCUCUACAUGGUUUCUGCCCUCGCUUCCCUAAGUGUACUCUCCCGAGAACUGACCAUCCUCCUUAACACAUCAGCCCGAUCACGUUAUUACACUGCACAAAACUCUACAGUACCUUUCCCUCUCACUCAGAAAAGAAUCCAAGAUCCUUGUAAUGACCUGCGAGAUCCUGCGUGAUUUACACACUCACAUCUGAGGCUUUUUCUCCCACACUCUGACCCUCGCACUCCUCUUCAUCCGUAUUGGAUAUUCUGCUGUUUUACUGUUCCUUAAGAAUGCACUAGCCUCAGGGACUUUGGCUCAGUAUUUCCUCUGUCUGGAAUUUUAACCCACUUUGCACCCAGGGAGCCACAGAUCUUAUUCUGUCACUUUUUUCAAGUCUCUGUUUAAAUAUAGAACUAUGAGGGAGAUCUGUCUUGCCUACCCUAUUUAAAAUAACAAGAUGACUUUCUCCCUAUAUUCUUAAUUCUGCAUACCCA